GAUGAACGCUGGCGGCGUGCCUAAUACAUGCAAGUCGAACGCAUAGCGAAAGGUGCUUGCACCUUUCAAGUGAGUGGCGAACGGGUGAGUAACACGUGGACAACCUGCCUCAAGGCUGGGGAUAACAUUUGGAAACAGAUGCUAGUACCGAAUAAAACUUAGUGUCGCAUGACACAAAGUUAAAAGGCGCUUCGGCGUCACCUAGAGAUGGAUCCGCGGUGCAUUAGUUAGUUGGUGGGGUAAAGGCCUACCAAGACAAUGAUGCAUAGCCGAGUUGAGAGACUGAUCGGCCACAUUGGGACUGAGACACGGCCCAAACUCCUACGGGAGGCUGCAGUAGGGAAUCUUCCACAAUGGGCGAAAGCCUGAUGGAGCAACGCCGCGUGUGUGAUGAAGGCUUUCGGGUCGUAAAGCACUGUUGUAUGGGAAGAACAGCUAGAAUAGGAAAUGAUUUUAGUUUGACGGUACCAUACCAGAAAGGGACGGCUAAAUACGUG
rnacentral:rRNA from 1 species